rfam:Cavia porcellus supercont2_13 genomic scaffold, whole genome shotgun sequence.
GGGGAUUUAGCUCAGCGGCAUAAGCGCCUGCCUUGCAAGCAGGCAGUCAUAUGAGUUCUAUCCCCG